UACGAAGGGGGCUAGCGUUGCUCGGAAUCACUGGGCGUAAAGCGCACGUAGGCGGAUUGCUAAGUCAGGGGUGAAAUCCUGGAGCUCAACUCCAGAACUGCCCUUGAUACUGGCGGUCUCGAGUCCGGGAGAGGUGAGUGGAACUCACGGUGUAGGGGUGAAAUCCGUUGAUAUCGUGGGGAACACCAAAGGCGAAGGCAGCGCACUGGUCCAAAUCUGACGCUCACACACGAAAGCCAGGGUAGCGAACGGG
rnacentral:rRNA from 1 species